GGACAGGGGUGCGUAAGCUGAGAGUUACCCUUAGUACCUGAUCUAGUUAGUACUAGCGUAGGGAGUUCC
rnacentral:ncRNA from 1 species